AGAAACUCGACUGCGCACAGUGUCGCAUAGCUCUGGAAUGUGCUAAACGUGCAGAAGCUCAAACGACACUGCAGCAAAUAUUAUUACUAAACAAUUUCUGCAUAAAAAACAUUUGCUUUGUAAACACAGCAUUUGAUCUUGUUUAGACAUAAAAUCUUCAUAGAGGCAUGAAAUGAUUACAAAGGUAAACUUUCAAUAAAAAUAUAAACAUGGCUAACGAAGACGAGAAAAUCGAGAUUUGCCGUUUGUGUGGAAAAGAGUCUCGAAACUGUUUUGCAAUAUUUCAAGACGAAGAUAAUAUUCUCGAAAAAAUAAAUACAUGUUUACCGAUCGAUAUUUCUCCGAAUGAUAAAUUGCCUUCUAAUAUAUGCAGAUGUUGCUCAUAUCGUUUAAGUAUGAGUUAUAAAUUGCGUUGUAC